rnacentral:rRNA from 1 species
UACGGGGGGGGCAAGCGUUGUUCGGAAUUACUGGGCGUAAAGGGCGCGUAGGCGGUUUGCUAAGUUGAAUGUGAAAACUCUGGGCUUAACCCAGAGCCUGCAUUCAAUACUGGCAGGCUAGAGUUCUGGAGGGGAUAGCGGAAUUCCUGGUGUAGCGGUGAAAUGCGUAGAUAUCGGAAGGAACACCAGUGGCGAAAGCGGCUUCCUGGUCCAGCACCGACGUUCAGGCACGAAAGCGUGGGGAGCAAACAGG